ACACAGACUCGCCGACAAUCCCUGCUGGGAAAUAGGCCAUCAGGCAGUCCCUGCACGGUGCUGGCGUGGCCUCUAAGCCCCCAGUGGAGGCGAGGGGAAGCUCGAUGCUCCAGGAGACCACCCGUCCUCAAGGACCACCGUCAGAAAGAAGCUGCAUCCCUCAGGCUAGAAGGAUGCCCGGCACACAGUCGGCACUCCAUAAUUAUUGGAUGUGCCAGUGAAGAGGAGGAGAGUGAGGCUCACUGCAGCGAACCAGAGGAUUGCUGAGUUCCUGGCCGCCCUCUUCGAGCUCCAGCAUAGAAUCUCUACACAUUUUGAAUAUUUCGGUUUAGGAUUUGGACAAAAGAUCCCCACAGUUACCUUCUCUCCCUGUGUGGUGUUGGAACUUCCUUCAAAUGUAGCUAACCAGGAACUUGGGCGAUAAGAGGCUCUCAGCUAGAGGAAAAAACAUGAUUCGGCAACUCACUUCUGGAAAGACGUGCUCCUACCCCUCCCACUCCAGCAAAACGCCGGGGGCAGACCCGGGAGUGGAAAGUUGCCAUCUUCAGUUUGAUGACGUUGCUGGGACGUGCUACAGGAUGGCCUGCCCGCCACGUGGCAGCCCCAGCCACAGAAGGUGCAGCCUACCUCUUGGGGUCAGGUGUGGGAGACGGGGGCCAGUCUCCUUCUCAGAUCACCUGGACAGAAUCCCAGUGAGCCGGAAAUUCUGGGGCUGAGUAGAGGGCUAAAUCUAAUCUAAUUCAUGUCUGUGUCACAAAGUGUGU